UGAGGAAAAAUGUAAACAAUGACGUCAGCAAAGAUUCGCCUAUAUGGGGCGAAGAAGAAAGAGUUCAUGGACUUGACUAUCAGGAUUCGAACUAGGCCAGUGCGCUUGUCAUGAGCACCUCUAAGGUAGAAGAUUCGCCAAACCUCAUGCUUCUGUCGUUUUCAAUUUACUAACUACCUUUUUCUUGCUGUUUCAGGGUCGGCGAUGUUUGAUUCAGACUCGGCCAAUUUUUCCCGCCCGGGUACAGCUGGGGAGGGAAGACCCUCCAGUCGGUGCAGCAGCCGCUCAAGAAUCGCUGAAGCCCGAGCAUUUGCUGCAGAACACUUUCACCCAGAACACAGCUGACACUUGGAACAUGUUGCAUCUUGUUGGAUUAGAGUUUAUUGCCUGAAAGAGCAGUCAGUGAAAAGAUAUUCAUAGAAAUGACAACAAGAAUGGUCUUUGAAAAUGUUUCUGUUGUCAAAGUCGCUCUGAACAUGUGUGAAGUACAAAUGCGAAAAAAUACGGAAAUUGUACUCUAUGGGCUUUGAACCGCGGAUAUUUAUGUUAAAUGUCACUUUGGAAAUUAUACGUUGUAAAUUAACUGUAGAGUGAGUAUUUUAAUUUUCUGUUCUUCGGUUUGGAAUACACUUUCAAACUUCGGAUAGAGAAAAUACUACAAGUUACAUCUCCACCUUGAGAAAUAAAAUACCCAAUAUUAAAGAA